GCCUAGUUAGCUUAGUUGGUAGUGCGUCUGCCUUGUAAGCGCUAGGCCGCGGGUUCGAUUCCCGCCCGGUGUA
rfam:Asian citrus Psyllid, Diaphorina citri - Florida Strain, whole genome shotgun sequence.